rnacentral:rRNA from 1 species
UACGUAGGGGGCAAGCGUUGUCCGGCAUUAUUGGGCGUAAAGAGCUCGUAGGCGGUUUGUCGCGUCUGCUGUGAAAACCCGAGGCUCAACCUCGGGCCUGCAGUGGGUACGGGCAGACUAGAGUGCGGUAGGGGAGAUUGGAAUUCCUGGUGUAGCGGUGGAAUGCGCAGAUAUCAGGAGGAACACCAAUGGCGAAGGCAGAUCUCUGGGCCGGAACUGACGCUGAGGAGCGAAAGCAUGGGGAGCGAACAGG